rnacentral:lncRNA from 1 species
AACGCCAUCGACACCCCAUUGCUCACCAAACGACGCCGCUCUCCUCCAGUGUGUUGAUAUACUGGAGUCUGUGUUAGGUUUAGGGUUUCCGUGUUUGUUGCCUUUUUGUUUCUUGUUUUUUCUACUGCUUAUGCGUCGAUUAACUGAUUACCAGCGCUCUAUCAUGUCUCAUGGCCGCUGCGUAUGAGCCGACGCAAUAGUUGCUCCGGUUCUGCAACACCAUCUUCAAUGUGUGAUGUGCUGAAUCGCAGCUUUUUGUUGUCAGAUCUGGAUAAAUUCCCCUAUUUCCUUAUUUUUUCUUUUUAUUUUCUCUUUUUAAAAUUUUUCAUUCAAAUCAAAGGGAUGAAGAUGGAUGUGAUGAUUAUUUCCCCAGAUGAACGACGUUGAUUAUACUGUGCUAUUUCUUUCUCUUUUUGAGAUUCCAAGCCAUUACUCUGAUCCAUCUUCCCCUUUCUGCUUAUUGUCUUUAUUAUAUUUAUUUUUUUAAUUUUUAUUUUUUUAAGUAUUUUAUUUGGAAGAGAAAUGAGGAGCCUUUCCCCAUAUGAUCGAAUCUGAUUCCAACUGUGCUAUAAUUUCUUAAAUUAUAUAAGCCAGAUCUCUGAUCUCUUCAAUUUUGGAAAUUUUUUCGUUUUCUCAAUAUAUAAGUUCAAAUAAGUUUUAUAAUUCUUUCUUUUUUUUUAAAAAGUAAAACGUCUAUUUCAAUUAGAAACCAAAGCAUUACAGUUAGUUUAUUUUGUGGAUCGAUUUCUGGUAGCGGCGGCGGUGUCGGAUCGGAUCUGAGUAUCAUAACCAUAAAGCUUAAUUUUCUAGGAAUUAAAUGGUUAAAGGAUGAAAAGUUCCGCUCUCUAACUACUCUAGUAACUUGUAACAGCUACAAUAAGCUUAAUGCUAUAGAUUUUUUAUGGAUUUAUUAAUAUAAAAAUAAGGUGAAAUUUAAAAUUUAACCCAAUAAAUAGUAGAAUUUUUUAAUCCAAUUAAAAUAGAAAAAUUAUAUUUAAAGACGUUCGAUUUUAUUCAUGAAAACGAGCUUUUUGGCUUUUUAAAUUAUUUUUUAAAACUAUUAAAUACUUUUUUAGUUUAAGAAAAACUGUUUUUCUGUUUUUAAAAAUAAUAAAAUUUUAAAAACAAAGCCAAAAAGGGCCCUUAAUUAUUGGAGUUCAAAAAUCAAUUUUAAAAGCGACUUCAUGUUAUGUUUAAUCGAGUAAUAGUGUGAAAAAAAUGUUAAAAAAAUGAUUUUUAUAUUUGAUUUUAUUAUAAGAAAUACAAAAAAAAUAAAAAACUUAUAUGUUUAAUUUAUUUUAUUUUUAUAUAGAAUAAUUAUAAUAAAUUAAAUGAGUUAAAAGUAUCAAAGAUAUUCAUGCCUAUAAUGAAAACCACAUUGGGCCAAGCCCAAAAAGAUGACUUGAGCCCAUUAAGCAUUGAGCUUGAUGAGAAUCUUAUAAAUAUUUAUACCAACGAUGAGAAAAUUCUCAUAUUUGAAAAAUGACUUCAAUUUUGUUAUAAAAUAUAUUAUAAGAUAUGAGAUUUUGUAUCAUUAUGGUAAAGGACCCUUAAUGAAAUUGAAUAGAGUUUUCCCGUGCAUCCUAUUAUCUUCCUACUUUUUAAUUUCUUUUUCUUGUCUUUUUCUUCCUUCACUUUUUCUUUUUUCACUUUAUAAUUUUGAAACACGUUAUCGAGUAGUCUCUAGACGUUCUCCUUUUUAGAGAAAGACUCUUCUCUUUUCUUUCUCACAAAAAAGUAUGUGAUGAACUUAUAUCAUGAUUUUCUAUUUUAUUACUCUUUUGAUCUCUUUUUUCAUUUAUUUUAUUCGAAUACAUAAAUAUUACAAUUCCUAUAACUAGAAGUUAUGAGAUAAAUUCAUAAUCAAAAGUUGUAAAAAAUAUGUAUAAUCCUUAUAACUAGAAAUUAUGGAGUAAAUUCAUAAUAAAAAAUUAUGAAUAAUAUGUAUAAUCUCUAUGACCAGAAGUUAUGAAAAAUAUGUAUAAUUCUUAUAACCAGAAGUUAUAGGGUAAAUUAUAAAUUAUGAGAUAAAUUCAUAACCAUAACUUAUAAAAACUAUCUGCAAUUCCUAUAACCAAAAGUUAUGGGAAAAAAAAUUACAAAAUUAUAAAUACAUUACCAAAAGUUAUGUAUAUGAUCCUCAAUUAUUUAUUUUUAAUUAUAUGAUAUAACUAGAAGUUAUACCAAACAAUAUUAUGGCAAAAAACUAUAAAAUAAAUAAAUAAAUAAAUGUUCAUUGCUUAAAGUUAUGUACAAAUUUACAUAAUAAAAGCUUAUAACUCGAAGAUAUGCACAAAUCUACCUAAUGAAUAGUUCAUAGUCUGAAAUUAUAUACAAAUUUAUAUAUAUAAAAAAAAUAGUUCAUAACCUGAAAUUAUGUACAAAUGUAAAUAUUUUAUUUAUAACUCUUUAUAAAAGGGAGAGUUCCUUAAUGAAAUUGAAUAGAGUUUUCCUGUACAUCUUAUUAUUUUUCUAUAUUCUAAUUUUUCUUUCUUGUUUUCUUUUUCUUUUACUUUAUAAUUUUACAACAAAUUUUAUAUUUUUCUUCAUUUAUUUUUUUAGUGUUUGAAUACGAGAUAUGACAUUUUUACCCUUCAAUUUUUUUUUUGAAAAAAUAAUUUUCAUUUAUUAGAAAUUUUACAUGGAUAUUUUUACUCUUAUCUUUUUUUUAAUAAAAAUAAUAUUUUAUUUUUAAACAUAUAUCUAAAUAAUUAAUAUGAUAUUUAUAUUAAAAAUAGGUUACUGGAAAAAUUAGAUUUGUAAAUACGAGAUAAUUUUAUUCAUUUUAAUAAAUUAUUUUAAUUUUUAAUGAGUAAAAAGCUGAAUGUUUUUUUCUUUUUAAGUUAUAUUUUUUGUCUUUAAAUGAUGCAUUUCGUUAUUUCGUUGCAUUUUCAAUGAGCGUCGGAUCCCGUCCAUAUCUGAAAUGUGGUGGAAGGACUAGCGAAUUAGCCAUGGAAGUAAUUUUUAAAAUGUUGUACAUCGUAAAAUAAUUCAAAUUCUACGGCACUUUUUAACACAUAAGGAUGAGAGUGGGAAAAAAUAGUAUUUUAUAUUUGAAAGGAAGUACAAACCCAUUUCCCCGCCCGUUUUCUUCUCUGCCUCAAAACUCAUUUUGUCCUCUGUUCGAAAACCCAUUUUCCCGCACGCUGAUCAUGAUCAUGGACUGGAGAUCCUUGCCUCAACACCAUAGGAAGGAAGUGAAGUGCAGAUCUGAAACACCAUUGCCCCCGGGUGUUUUCUUUAAGUUUUGUGGUUAUAUUUGUUGGUGUGGUUGUGUUUGGUCAUCGAGAAAGUGUGGGAAAGUUGAAAAAAAAUGAGGUUUUCGUUUUUUUUUUUUUACAAUGAAAUCGAGUAGACUAAUUUUUUUUUUUUUUUUUGUGGUUCGGCUUGUUGCCAAGAAAGUGUGGGAAAGUUGAAAAUUUUGUUUUCAUUUGCUCCCACACAAUAUUCGUCACCGAUUGUCGGUAAUUUUCGGGAAAUUUCCCGAUAUUUCCUACCAGUCCAGCCCGCGCACAGGAUACAAAAUCGGUCCAAUUUUUUUUUAUAAAAAAACAUAAGAUGCUAUUUGGUAAUCUGAUCAUGAUUUGCAGGGAAAGGUUGUGUUUUUCAGCCUGGCUCAAAAAUCGUGGAUUUAGGGUUCGUGAAAUUUAAAUCCAAUGGCACAAAAGCAAGGAGACCCCUAGAACAGAUCCAGAAAGCACAGGGAGCAAAAAUGUAAAAUAAAAUUUCCGUCUUUGAUCAUCUCUCUCUAUCCGAUAUUUCCGUCUCGUCUCUUCGGUUUUCUCCUCAUUUUCCUUUCCCGUGUCUCGCAGAGUCUAUGCUUCCUUUAAAACUAAUGUGCUUGCUGAUGAUCAAGACUGUGAAUGUCGUGGAUCGAAUCAAUGUUUUAGCAGAUUUGAAGGUGAGGAUAUUGUUCUGAAUCGUUACUCUACUAUAUCAUGUUUACUUAGUUUCUGAUUAUGCAAAAAAAAAACUUACCUUCUUCCUUCUUUUCAUCUCAGACAGCCAAGCCUCUCGAACUGCCGCCUUCUCUGAAGUCAGGUAAAUUUGAGAUCAACUCUGUCAUUCCACUUCCAGGAAGGAAAAUCCUAUAUCCACAGUCUGGAUGAAAGUUUUCUUCAAUGAUCGUAUAUGAUCAAAUCGUUAUCUUUGAAUUUUCCUCGAUUUUGAAUAUUUUUAUUUGAUAUGAAUAGCAAUUAAUGUUAAGUCAUGUGAGAAGAAAGAAAUGGAUGAUUCAAUCCAUUCUAUGAUUGUUCCGAUCUCAAACCGUUAAUAAGAAUUUUAAUUGAGAUAUGCCAUUGGUUCUGAAAAUUUUAAUUUUUUGGUUAAUAUUGGUGAUAAUUGACAUUGGAGGAAUGUCUACGUUUUAGGCUCAAGUCUAGGGCCUACUUUUGUAAAAUGUGACCAUCUGAUAACCAGAAAAGGCUUACUCCUGCUGGUUAAAGGCAUUAUUUUGUAGUAUUAUCGUAGUUGAGCGUAUUCUGUGUAUGAUAAGGUUCUUCAUGUUUUAUUUAAUUUUUUGUUGCUCAUUUGAUGUGUUAUUCUCUAAUCUAGGGCCCUUGGCAUAUUGUUUAUCAAGGUUCAUUGUAUUUAAUCUAACACAUGCUCACAUUAUUUAAGGCCUGAUAAUUAGUGUGCAUGUAAAAUCUAUUUGAAAGUUAUGAUGCUAUACUUAGAAGAACUUGUUCAAAUUUAUGUUGAAGAGCUCUUUAUAUGCACAUAUGUGUGUGUUGCAGCUUGUUCUUGAAACAUCUACAAAGAUAGUGGCACGAUAAUAUAGAAGCUCUCACUUAAUUUUUUAAUAAUUGUCUAUUGUGUAGAAAGAUCUACACCUGUCUGUUUUAAUUACUGUAACACCUUCUUGCAUUUUUGUGCUGUAAUUAUUAUAAUGCAUCUAUGUCUAUACAACAAUUUCCUCAUUAGGGAGGAUAUGUUUUGGGAAUCUCUAGACUCCGCUAGGGUUUGGCUCAAAAACGAACUAUAUUUUAUAUAUAUAUUUAUGAAGUUAAACCAAAUCUAAUUCUCGUAUAUAUGUUGUGUCGUUGCAUGUAAUUAUUUAACCUCUAAGCUCUAGAGAUUAACUGCUUCAACAAAAACCCAAUGAGGUUUCUAGUACAAAUCUCAAUCUCCUUUCCUGUUUAGCUUCUCAAUCAAAUCACCCUCACAGAAAAGUUUGAAAAUAGCCAGAGUUCCAUGUACUAAUUAAGUGUUCUAAAAUCAUUGAUUGGGUAAUUUUAGCCUUUUCUCUCACACUUCUCUUUAUUAUUGAAAUGGAAAUGUUAACAUGGAUUUUCUUAUUAGAAAAUUAAGAAUAACUUUUUCACCAUCCAUAAAAUCUGAAUGAACUAAAAUUGUUCACAAGCAUAUAUAAAAUUUUACUCUUAUCCCAUAGAAGUAACCCUAGGAAGGGGGAUAAGGGUCUAAAACACAUUGGCCUCUUUUCCCUUGAUUGUGGCAUCUUUUCCCUUGAUUGCAUUGUGCAUUAGAUAAUGCACUGUCAUCUUUUAGUCUUCUAAUACUAACAAUUUGAGAUAUUUUAAAAAAUAGUUGAUUGUUUGUGCGAUGCGCAUUUUUAAAGCACUAUAAUAUAUGAUCACAUUUUGUAGAUCACAAAACACAUAAGGAAACAUUAUCAAAUUUUCUCCUUUAAAUUAUGCAAGUAUAAAUAAAAAUAAUAUAGAUUGAAGUUUGUGUACUCCUUAAAUUUCUAAAGAAAAACAAAAGUAAAAAAAGAAAAUAUAAAAUAAUUUUUGCAAACAAUAUUGUUAGACACUCUUCAAUGUCCACUAAACAAAACCUCCUCUCAUGUCAAGUUGUAGAAACCUUUUCUUCAUGCCAUAGGUCAACUAAAAAAUUCACUACAUUAGUAGUAUAAAUAUAAAUAAAUGUACUAUAAUCUCUUAGUGCAGUUAUUUUUUCCUUGUCAUACAGCUUUUACAUACUGUUUCAUCAACCAAAUGAGCAUCAGUUGGUGCUAGAAACAGCUAUAUAUAUAUAUAUAUAUAUAUAUAUAUAUAUAUAUAUUUAUUUAUUUAUUUAUUUUUCACUUUGUGAACUUAAUUAAUAAAGAUAAAAGUAAAGGAGAUGGAUGGAUAUGUAGUUAACUCAAACUUUGAUUUUAAAACUUGUGCCUUCAUGCUGGUUUCAGUAAUUGUAAUAAGCAUAAUUAUAAUGGGGUGCAAUUGCUCGCAUUAAGGUGGCUCAUGGCUGAGCUUGAGAUGGCAUAUUGAACUUUAUUUCCAUUUAAUCUUUGCUAGCAUUUUCAAGAAGCAUAGUUUCUCCAAUAUCUUCCAGUUCUAGUUCAAAAAGUUAUGUAUGCACCUGUGUAAGAAAAAGGAGUUUCUCAUUUUUAAGCCCCUCAUUUACAUACAUCCUUGUAGCUGAAUGUUCCUGUAGCAAAUUUAUCUGCAUAACUAUUAGAGGUCACUUCUUAACAAAGCCCCCAUUGAGCCACUUGUGAAGAAAUGAAUGCCAGCAAGAACAUAGUUUCACCAGUUGCAAUUGUAGUAAUUGCAUUCUUGUGAUAAACUAGAAGUCUACAAGCAAGAGAAUAAGAUGACCUGUGGACCAAGAAGCUUUUACACAAUGAACUAUAUUAAUAAGGGCAAAAGAACUAGAUGAACUUUGAACCAAAAAGCGUGAUUACAUGAGCCAUACCAAUAGGAUUACCAAGAAAAUCAUGGUGUAAAGCAAGUAGCUCCCAAUAAAGUCUGGCUGCAGUAAAUACUCCUCAGACAUCUUUGUUCUCUGAUGUUUUCAUUUUUUUAUUACUACCCCCAGCUGACACCUUUCUCUUGAUGUGUGCAGGAAUUGUGUCAUCCUUUACCUUAGGAGUCAGAAAUGGACAAAACUCUGUGGUCAGGAUUUGCAUGGUGCUUCUUCAGAAUGGGCCCUCACUUUCUUACCAGUGGGUGUAAUAUGGUAGGCAUCCAAUAUAGAGAAAUCUUUGCUCAGCACCAACUGGGGUCUUUUGGAUGUUUGGCUUGUCAACAACCCAGGUUCGAGUAGCAUCAUAGUUGAUAUUAGUGGGGUCCUCACAAGAGACAUCCACUUUCUUGUUGCAAAAAAAUGGUUCCUCUGUGACUCUACUUCUGAUCUCCUCAUACUCUUCUUGUGUGCCAAUCAGCCUCCAUUUGAAGCAUGCUCCAAAUUGGACAGCAUAUGCACCAAUUGAGCUGCGGACCAAUGCUGAUUGCUGUUAUGAAAAAUGAAAAGCAGUGCUGGUGCAGUUAAAUUUUUAAGAAGCUAGAUUGACACAUAAGAGGGAUGAUGAUCCUUCAAAGAGAAGGAAGGGGGGCUUGGGUGUGAGGUGUCUUUCAACGAUGAACAAAGCUCUUCUUUGCAAGUGGAGUUGGUGUUUUGCCAAUGAAAGAGGGGCACUUUGGAAGCAAGUCAUUAAUCAGAAGUAUGGUGAGGAUAUAGGGGGUGGCGAUCUCGUGAGGUGGGAGGAGAUAGGUAUGGGGUUGGCCUUUGGAAAAUCAUAAGAAAGGAGUUGGACAUUUUGAGCAGCAAAAUUUCUUUUUCUAUGGGAAAUGGUCAAAGAGUAAGAUUUUUGAAGGACAAGUGGUGUGGAGCCACUUUGCAUUUCCUUUCCUUCCUUAUUUGCCCUAGCCAUUUCUAAGGAUGCAUGGGUGGCAGAUGUUUGGAACUUUGAAGGCAAAAGGGGUGGUUGGGCUCCUUGCUUCUCUAGGUCGUUUAAUGAUUGGGAGGCGGAAAGAGUGAAACACUUGUUGUUGAAGAUUCAAACAAAAAGGGCGUAUAGGGAUGAAAAAGAUAGGAUGAUUUGGAUGGCUUUGAGGUGUGGGAACUUUUCAGUUAAAUCCCUUUAUUCUACUAUGGAGCCUGGGACCCUCUAUUGUUCCCAUAGAGUAUCAUUUGGAGAUCUUAUGUGUUACUAAGGGUGGUCUUUUUCCUAUGGGUAGCGACAUGGGGGAAAGCCCUGACUUUGGAUCAGGUCCAAAUGAGGUGGUUUUCUUUGGUAAAUAGAUAUUUUCUUUGCCACUUUGAAGAAGAAAUUGUUGAUCACAUUCUUCUUUACCGUGCAAAGACGUGGAUUCUUUGAUAAUUGCUUUUUUCUCUCUUUGGUGUAUCUUAGGUCCUCUCCUUUUUCGGUUAAGGAGGCGCUCCUUGGGUGGUAUGGUCCUUUGUGGGUAAAACUCGUAUAAAGUCUUGGAUGAUGGUCCCUUUAUGUAUCUUUUGAAUGGUGUGGAAGGAAAGGAACAUGUUAGCGUUUAAUAAUGCGGAGUUGUCAUCCAAAGGAUGAAAAAUUCUUUUGUUUAUAAUUUGUGGUCUUGGUCUAGGGUGUCCGUAGAUAUGGACCCUAGUUCUCUUGUUAGCUUUAUUGACUGGCUAGGCUCUAAGUGAAGGUGGGUGAUGUUUUUUGUUUCUCUCCCUCUCCCACUUGGGUAAACCUUUGGGUAGCUGGUGUAUAGUUCCUAUAUUCUUUGGGACGUUGUUUUGGUGUUUCCUUUUAUAUGUAUAUAUACUCUCUUACCUAUCAAAAAAAGAAGCUAGAUUGACAUGUGAGGCCUUCAAGAUAUUUAUAUCAUGAAAAGGGAUUUUCUAUUCUUAUGAUUCUUUAACUAGUUCUGAUGAGUAUCUUGUUCUGAUAAUAGAUAGUAAAAAAGGGGCGAAAAUAGAAACGGUUGUUUGACUACUUUUUUUUAGAAAACAACAUUGAAGAACAGUUAGAAAACAGUGUUUUCAGUUAACAGCAAAUUAUCUUCUGUUUUCUAUUACGUUUUUUUGGGAUUGCAGAAAACCAAGAAUUAAUUAAAGGGAAGCUAAAAGCAGACAAAAUUGAGGGUGAUUAAAGAAAAGCAACCCAAAACCAAGCAAUUUACCGACCUAUAUAUGUUUCCAUGUAAAGUCAAAUGCAAACACAGAAUCAGAGUUUGAUUUCUAAACAAUUGUUGAUCAAUGGACCCAUGAACUCACUACAACAAGGUCUGGUCAGCAAUUUAUAACUCAAAAACUCAAUUCAACCCCAUUGACCUUCUGCCUCAAGUAUCACAUAUUUCCCCUAUAGUUGUUGAGAGAAUUAAAGACAUGAAUGCAGUGUGUUGUAAUAUAGUGUUUUAUUAGAUGGCUUAUUCAAACAGAGUGUGACAUUAAUCCUUUACUAUUUUUCUCUUUUUGUAUAAUUUAUUUUGCAGGACAAGAAAAAUAAAGAAGGUAGAAUGGAAAUUCUUCCAUGAAGUUCUUCAGUGAUGUUCAAGUUACUGUCUUUACCGGCAAAUCAGGUGAAUCUCCUACAGCUCAUGGUUACUUAAUCAAACAUGAGUAAUGAUGAUUGAUGACAAAGAGAAACUACUUCUACUUUUUAUGGAAAUGUUGUUGUGAUUUAACCAAUCUGUUGAUUUUCAAUUUGAGAGAGUAUGUUAACAUGCGCAACAUUAUGAACUUGAUCAUAUACUCAUAAUUAGAAUGUUAAGCAUAUCUGAAUCUUGUGUAUAUGUUGUGCUGCUACAUGUUGUUAUUGACCUCUAAUCUCUAGAAUUAACUGCAUCAAACAACAACCAGGAAGGUUCCUGGUCAUAACUUUCUAUCCCCUUGCCUUCUUACUUAACUCAUUCAAUCUAUGUCCUCACUUUAACUAGUACCAAUCACAUCAUCUUCACAGAAAAGUUCAGGAAUGGUCAGAGUCCCAUGUAAUUGUUAAGUGGGCCGAAAUCAUCAAUAGGGUCAGAUCAGUCUUUUGUGUCACACUUCCCUCAAUUCUUGAAAAAUAAAAUAUUAACUUGAAUUUCUCUUAUCAGAAUGCUAACAUGAACUUUUUAACCACUCACAGACUAAUAUGAUUGCAUGAACUGAAAGUCAUACAUAAGCAUAUGUGAGAUUUUACUCUUUAUCCUAGAGGAUCAAUCCCAAAUAAGGAGAGCUGAGGGUCUAAAACACACUGACAUAUUUUUCCUUAAUUGUAUUAUCUGCUAGGUCAUGCAUUUUUUUUUUUAUCUUUUCACUCUCUUAAUAUGGAAAAACUAUUUGAGAAAUAUUCUUUACUAAAUAAAUGUUUUAAUCAUUUAAAGGCAAGGCUCUCUACGUAAAAUGAAUAAGUGUGUUUAUUUAUUUCAAAUCAAUGGCUUUUCUUUGACUUGUUUUGGCAUCUGGAUUCUCUACAAAGAGUAGGAUGAUAGCAAAAUUAACAAGUGUCAUCUUAAACACCGUCACUUCAAGCUUUACCAUAGUCUAGAAGAGCAAUAAAUAGACAAUCUUGCAUGAAGAUAGUUAUGAAAUUAUUCAGGAAAAAUUUGUGAUGGGUUAACCAUUGUCUCUGUUUUAUUUUUCUAUCUCAAAAAAGAAAAAAAGAAAAAAGAAAAAAGAGGGUACAAUCAUGAAGGGCAAUAAAAAAAAAAAACCUACUUAAUAUUAUUGGAUGGCAGGUGAUAUACUGUCAUGGCAUAUUUGGUUUCAUACUGCCUUAACCAUGGUUAGGAAAAUCAGCAUAAUUGGUCACCAAUGGUUACCUACCUGGUUAAGGCCUCUACAUCAACCCCACCAACAAGGAGGAAACCUAACUAAGUGGAGUUCAUGCAGAUCUGCUAUCAGAACUCACAUCUUUCACAGUUUCUCAUUUGCAUAUAUUCCUUUGGUACAGAGCAUUAUCUAUCUUCAGGCAAGUCUAGGCCAUCAAUGGGUGCAUGAAGUUUGUUUCUAUUUACUUGAGUUCCUGUGUUUUUUUUCCCCCAUUUUGAUGGGUUUUUCUGCUUGUGUCAAUUCUUGAUUGUGCUUGCUUCUUGUGGAAAAAUGCACCGAGUGAGCUCACCUCAGUGGAACUGGAUUCAAAUUGGCCUACAGGAGAACAGGAAGCAGAAGACUUCAAACUUGCCAAUUGGAAUGAUACUAUUGCAAGUCAUCCUAAAAUAGAAUUGCAUCUGUUUCAUAUAAAAUUCUGGAGCACUAUCAAAAAGGUUGCUGAAUGUGGGCACAGUAGGAAACUGCUGAGAUGGCCAUUCUAAGAUGUGGAAUUUAUUGUGGGCGCAACCUUGUAUAUAACAUAAUGGACAAUGCUUUUUGAUGUUUUCAGAGAAAGGCAAUGAAAGUGAUACAUCAAGAAGUCAUGAAUUUGAAGAUUUACAUCACCUGGUGGACUUCACAGUGCCAGAGAUUAUAUGUGUGCAUAGGGAGCUAAGGCAUUCUUAACCAUUGCAGAAGCAAUGUGGUGCUUCUCGAUAUGUGAUACUUGAUGUAUCUCUACUCUGUGGAAAGGAAGGGUAUUUUUUUAGUAGUUCUAUCGUAAAGAGGUCUCAAAGAAAAUUCCUCUGGGUUCUGCUGCUGUGCAAUUGAGAUCAGGAGCUCAAAGUUCUGAAGCCAUUCUUUCUAGCCAAGCCAACCAAAUAUUCUGAAACCUUCAGUUGCCAAUACUCAAAAUUUCCAGUCCCCAAACCACCAGUUGUAGGAUCCAAAAUGUAUCUAAACCUAGGGAUCCCACUGUUUAUAAAAGUCGACUCCAAGCAAGAAGGAUGAUAUGAUACUGAAGUUUGUUCUCAGCUGCAAGAACCGCAAGAUAGAGUCCAAGGUUGGAGUAAGUGGGCUAAUCAGAAGGUUAUGUAGGCUGCUUGUAGGCUUAUCAGGGACCUAACUGAGCAAAAUUGAUGAGGCAGAGGAAAUAAGAAUAACAACUAAUAAGACAUAAAAGAGAAAAUCUUGGAGGAAAAAAAUCUGAAGUGGCUAUCUGAGAUGGAUGGGCAGGUUGAGAGGAACUACUCUACUGUUUACAGGCUUAACUAGGAAAAAACUUUGCUGAAAAAGAACAAUGCAGCUGCUAAAUUGGAAGCUAUAGAAUCAGAUUUGGGUUGGCAUGAAACUCUGAAUGGGGUGCAGAAUACUUCAUAGUGUGCUAACAUAUAAGAGAAGCAGGAGGGCAUUUCCAGGAGGAGCUAGGAGCCCAAAAGUAAAAGGCGGCAGAGCAGCAAAAGGAAGUAGAAAAGUCAUGAUAUUGCCAUAACCAAAUGAGGUAUGCUUGUCCUAAAGAGAACAUUAGGGCUAUGUUUGGUUCUUGGAAAAUUUGAAAGAAAAUGCAAGAGACAAAAAAUGGAGAGGAAAAGUAGAAGGAAAGAAAAAAAUGAAGGAAAAUAAAAAAUAGAUUUAAAGUUAAUAAAUUAUUUCUAUAUGCCUUUUCAAACCCAUUUUACUUAUCCUUAGUACCUUUCGGGAACCAAAUAUAGCCUAUGUAUCUCCUGAAUAAAUUGUCAAUGGAAGGAUCUACCAAUGGUAUAAUACUCAUGGUUAGGACAUGCAUCAUUGGUAUCGGUCAAUUCAUCCACUGGGCAGUGAUGCUACCUCAAGAGGGGUUUCCCUGAUCAAACAACUAACUUGAUUGGAUUUUAUGUUAUGAACAAGGAAAGAAUCCAUUGGGUUAUCCAAUCAGGCAAAUUUUUAAUAAUACGGGUUCUUCCUAGUUGGACUUGUAACCUACAACAAUUUCAUUACAUGUCUUUCAUUUCUUCUGUAAUUGCCGCUCUUUUUAUUUGAAUGCCAUAUUAAGAUGCAUGAAUUCAUUUUGCUCUAUUGUAUACAACCCAACGUUUGCUUUUAUUUGUUAAAUAUGUCAGUAGCUCUGAUUUAUGUUCUGAUAAAAUUACAGGCCAGAUGGAACGAGCAAUUCCCGGAAAAAGAGAAUUAUUAUGUUGGCUGACUCAAUACAGAAGGCUAUGAGUAGAAGCUUUUACAAAAGAAGAGGAGGAUGUCAUCCAAGAGAAAUGGAAAAUGCAAGGCUGGAGCCUCUUGGAUCAGGAUCAAGUUUCUCAACUGCAGAUCUAAGCAUCAAUCUGAAUGGAACUUUCUAGAGGGAAUUCCACUGAAAUACACUCAGGUAGUUGCCCUCUUUCUUCUGUCACAUAGUCCAUCCUAGAAUAAACCAAAAGAAAAGGAAAGAAAAGGAAAACCAUUAGAAAAAUAGUUUAGAGGGUGGAAUUGCCUAAACUGUAGGUUAGUAUGGAGUUUUUUUUUUCUUGCUUUUGUGAAGUUUAAGUUAGAUGCUUUUCUGUAUAUAAAGUUUACCUUAAGCUUGCCUUUCUUUUCUUGCUUCUGUGAACUGAUAAGAUGCUUAUCUAUGAACUCAGUUUACUUUAUUUUCUCACUUUUAUUCGUGGGAAAUGCUUUAUUCUUUUAUGAAUGAUGUACUUUAGGAUUUAUAGUGGAAGGAUGUUCAUCUUAGUAAGAGAUAAGAGUUAACUUUUGAUGGGAAUCAGGAUUUGCAACAUAGCUUGCCACAUAAAAAAAAAUCCAAUAUUUUAUGGCACGAUUCCACUCUCCAUUUGAUGUUGUCCGAUUCAAGGCUGCAGUGGCGCACAUACAACAGUUGACCCCGGUUUUGCUUUUUUAUUGUGCUUACAUUCUCAAGAAAAGGUCUCGAUAGUGUGUUGUGAAAGCCCCUCAUAUAUGACUCCUCAUUCACUCGAAUAUGAUACAUUACAUUUUAAUUUAUUUUUUUUGUGCAGUUGAACUCAAAAGGAGCCAUAUUCUCACUUAAAAAAUUGUGUUUGAAAAGAACAAAAUGUUGUUUCGAAAGGAGAAGAUCUUUAAAAAUUUAAACAAGCUAUUUUUUAAAAUAAAUUUAAGGCAUUUUCAGGUGCAUUUUUUUUUUAUGGUAUUUCAAACAAUAAUUAAUAAUAUGAUAAAUAUUGCUGAAACUUAUGUGUACAAUAAUCUAGAAAAAACAUUUUUUCAUAUUCAAGUUCUCAAACAUAAUUUGACUCCUAAAAAUAAUUAAAAAAUGUUUCCAAAUAGAUCCAAAACUUUUCUCUUGAUCCUUGUUCAAAACAAGACGACAAGCUAGUAUGAAUCGAACUUUUACCUUCAUCAGCCAUUAGCUUAUGAUCCCAUCAUCUGGAAACAUUAAUUUUUUCAUACAAAAAGUUUAUAAUAUGUUUUAAUUUAUAGAAAUCAUAAGCUAACUGUGUGCUAGGAAGUCGAUAUGUCCGAGUGGUUAAGGAGACAGACUUGAAAUCUGUUGGGCUUCGCCCGCUCAGGUUCGAACCCUGCUGUCGACGCGCCCCUCUCUUUUUUUUCUAUUUUUAAAUCCCAUCCGGCAAAUCCCAUUCAUGAAGUUUUCGGACAUCCAUACCAUCAAAUGUGCCUUUAAAGCCUCAAAAACACUCUAAGAACCACACCAUUUCUUGUGGCACAACCCCCCUAUGCAUCAUGUGGAGACACAACAACAAACCCCUUUAACCGAUGUUCGGAGCCUCUCCUCCUAAACUUCUGACCCCCCCAUUGCACUUUUCACGCCCUCCUUGGAAUUAACCAAAUUUAAUUCCUUUCCAUGCUUACACAUGGCCUCUCCUCUUCCCCUAAACGUGCCUGUGCCUUCUGUCACCCCAAAAACUGAGUCUCAUCAUAACUGUUACAGAAGCUCUCUUCUACUUUUCUUCACACACACCCAACAUUCAUAUCUAGAUCUCUAUAUAUUUUCCUUUCCCCAUUCAUCAUCUGGGUUGGUCUUACAGUCAUGAUCUUUAUCAAUAUUCUAUGUGUCAUGCAUGCAUAGAUCAUACAUGGAAAAUUUGCUUCUUUCUCUUUGUUUUCCAUUACUACUAUUCCCUGUAUUACCACCCACAGAGGCCUUUUACCUUCCCGGAAGCUACCCUCAUCGGUAUGGUGAUGGAGAUUUGUUAUCUGUCAAGGUAAACUCCCUUACUUCCAUUGAGACCGAAAUGCCUUAUGGGUAUUACACUCUUCCCUUCUGCAAGCCUAUUGAUGGUGUCCAGAACAGUAGGGAGAAUCUGGGUGAGCUUCUCAUGGGUGACCGGAUUGAAAGCUCCCCGUAUCGGUUCAAGUCUUAUGUUAAUGAAACAGAUGUGUUUGUAUGCUCCACCGGGCCUCUGUCGAAAGAAGAAGCUAGGAUCAUGAAACUUCGUAUCGAUCAAGUUUACCAGGUGAACCACAUUCUUGAUAAUCUUCCUGCCAUUAGGUACACGGAGAAGGGUGGAUUCAGACUCAGAUGGAUAGGGUUUCCUGUGGGGCUGAAUUUCAAUAAUGUGUAUUAUGUCUUCAACCAUCUGAGAUUCAAGGUUCUGGUUAAUAAGUAUGGAGAUGAUCAUGCCAUUUCCCAAGCCUCUGGUGCAAUUGAGGAGGGUGUUGAUGUUGUGAAGAGCUCAAGAACUAGGCAUAAUAACGUGACUCAACGGAUUAUUGUAGGUUUUGAGGUCACUCCAUGCAGUUACAGGCAUGACAUUAAGCAGAUGGGAAAUCUUCAAAUGUAUCAGAAAUUCCCUAGGGGGAUAAACUGUGAUCCAUUGUCGCUGGCCAUGGUGGUGAAGGAAGGAGAGCCCAUUGUUUUCUCUUAUGAAGUCUCCUUCGAGGACAGCGACAUCGAAUGGUUGUCAAGGUGGGAUGCGUAUUUGAAGAUGGAGGGAUCACAAAUUCACUGGUUUUCAAUCCUGAAUUCUCUCAUGGUUGUGGCUUUUCUAGCUGCCAUUGUGCUUGUCAUCUUUCUGAGGACUAUUCGGAGAGAUCUGACACAGUAUGAAGAGAUUGACAAAGAUGCUCAAGCUGAGAUCUCCGAGGAGGUUUCCGGCUGGAAACUUGUUGCAGGAGAUGUCUUCCGGCCUCCCCCAAAUGCAGACUUCUUAUGCAUUUUGGUAGGUGAUGGAGUACAGAUACUGGGAAUGGCCUUUGUUACUGUCUUGUUUGCCGCAUUUGGGGUCAUAUCACCAGCUUCCCAUGGAGCCCUCCUCACUGGGAUGCUCUUCUCCUACUUGAUUCUUGGAUUUGCAGCUGGAUAUGUGAGUGUGAAGCUAUGGAGAGCAGUCAGUGGAGGGGAAAGAAAGAAUUGGGCAUCAAUCUCUUGGAGGGCCUCCUGUUUCUUCCCUGGAGUUGCAUUUCUAGUCCUAGUUUCCAUGAAUUCUCUCCUAUGGGGCAGUCAGAGCACUGGCGCAAUACCCUUCUAUCUCUUUGUCAUUCUCCUCCUCCUAUGGUUCUUUGUCUCGGUUCCUCUCACUUUAGUUGGGGGCUACUUCGGACUAAAAUCAAGUUCAAUUGAAUAUCCAGUUAGAAUCAAUCACAUUGCCCGCGAAAUCCCACCACCAAAGUACCCUUCAUGGCUUGUUGUCAUAGGAGCAGGCACUCUCCCUUUUGGUACUCUAUUCAUUGAGCUAUACUUCAUCAUGUCAAGCCUUUGGCUAGGCCAAGUCUACUAUGUUUUCGGGUUUCUUCUUGUAGUGAUGAUACUUCUUGUGAUAGUAUGUGCAGAAGUUGCCCUUGUUCUAACCUACAUGCAUCUUUGUGUGGAGGAUUGGAGAUGGUGGUGGCAGUCCUUUUUUUCGUCUGGUUCAGUGGCGAUGUACAUACUGAUAUACUGUGUCAAUUACCUUGUAUUCGAUCUCCGGAGCCUGAGUGGCCCUGUAUCAGCUACUCUCUAUCUUGGAUACUCUUUUCUCAUGGUUGUUGCAGUGUUGCUUGCAACUGGUUCUGUUGGUUUCCUGUCCUCAUUUUGGUUUGUCUUCUUUCUCUUCUCUUCUGUAAAGCUUGACUGAAUAUGAAUCUGGUUCAAAGCCCUUUACAAUUUUGCUUUUCCUCUAGCUAAAUGAGUUCAGAAACUGAAUGAUCAGGUGUAUGGUGAUGGGGGCAGACUAUUUUUGCUUAUAGAACUGCAAAAAGUGGACAGAAGAAAAAGGUAUGGUCAUGGUAGAAACCACAUUUAUGGUGGCUUCUGCACCACCACAUGGGGCAUGGCUGGCUUACCUAGUAGCUAACUGCUAAAGUUUCUUGGAGGGCUUCCAUCUCCCAUUCCCAUUAAUAUAUAUGGGGCUGUCUGGAUAUGUUAAAAGAUUGGUGAUGCCAGCAUUACCCAAAAAAAUAAUUGGGAUGAGGAGAAACUGAAUGAUUUGGUGGGGGAUCAUGAAUAUUUUCCAAGUACAUUAUCAAAUGUGAAAGCCUUUAUGCAUUGGGGGACCUAGUAACCCUCAAAUUUCUUUCCAAACAGCUGUGCAGCUCUAGUAAAAAAAAGAAAAGAAAAAAAGAAUGGCUAGUUGAAGUUCAACAACAACCAACAAACACAGCUCUUGCUGUGCUCUAGGAAUCUCCCAAGUCCAUGACAUUAUGCUAUGUUAAUAUUUAAUUAGAAAACAUCACCCAAAAGGAUAAAAGCCAAGCGUUUGGAACAUGUUUAGACAGGGUGAUGGUGACCCUUUUGGGGGAGAUUCUAAAUCUUCAUUCUGGUCCCAAUUGGGGGUGUAAAGCAUUUGAAGGUAGAAGGAUUAACUGUGAACAAUGUGAAAGAUUCAAUGUCCUUUCUUUGUUUUGUGUACCAUUUUAGUUGUGGUUCUUUGGUUGUGGCCCUCGUGGGCAUGAGCCUUGUCACAACCCAUUAGUGGUCUGGUUUCUCUAAGGCCCUUCACAUCAAUUAUUUUGAGAAGCUUGAGCCAUCAGCCUAUGUGUAUUAUCCUUCCACAUUCAAUGGUCCAUUCAAUUGAAGGGCCAACUGCAGAGUUGCAUUAAAGUUCUUAUGAAAUUGAUUUUGCUCAUGAGUGGAAAUUAAUCAAUCUAAGCUCAACUACCACUGGCUUAAGAGCUUGGUUGGAUUUGGCUACUGUCUCUUCUAAUAAAUGUUAUUCCCUUUUGGCAAGAAUCACGCAUUGUUGAUGGUCACAUGUCCUUAGACCAAAAGGGGGAGAAACCCCUUUGCCUUUUGGUCUCCACUUUCAAAGCCCACUAAAUCUUGUUUCAUCUUUUUUGUAUUUUUAAAGUGGGAAAAUUGGACAAUUAAAUUUUUAUUGUUGAAUAAAAAUGUAUAAAAAAAUCACUGAAAUACAAACAAUAAUUUGAUUUCACAUAAAUUCUUUUUAAUUAGUUGUUACUUUUUUAGAAAAUACGAAGAUACUAAAUCGGGUAUAUAUCAAACUUUCAAUAUCCAUUGUUAAAGGUAUACAAAAAAAAUUUAGAUUAUUAAAUAAAAAUAAAAAUAAUAAGGCAAAGGUACGAAGAAUGUGAUUAAAUACAAAUAAAUGAAAUCAAGAUACAAAACAAUGACACUUAAACACAUGUUUAGUGUAAUUCGAUUGAUUAAAUUUUUCGGUAAACACCUCUUUAGUAGUAUAGUUUGUUUUUUUUUUUUUUAUGUUGUGCAAAAAAGCAUUGAAAAACAAAUAAAAAAUUUCAUGGAAACUGAUUUUUUUUUUCUUUUUUGAAACUCACAAAUCUUGUGAUUCAUCCAUUCUCAAGAUGAUGACAAUAGAAUUUUCUUCCUUUCAAUAGUUCAAAAGACAAAUUUGUACUGAGCUCGUGAUAAGAAAAGGGGGAUAGGAGGAUGGAGGAUGGAGGAAAGGCGAAGGCCACAAGCAUCCACUAGAGUGGGGGCAAACAGAGAAGAAAAGCUGGCAUUUUGCUGAGAUCUCAAGGGCUUCUAAGACCAAACUCCAUGCAUUUGGCAUCUUCCUUGAUCCAGCCAAUCCAGCCAAGACCCACACACUGUCACACCCAUAAACAAAUCAUACCUAUCCUUACUUUAAGAGAGCAUUUCAUUAUUUAAACAAAACCCCAUAUGGAUUCUGUUUUUUGUCAACCUUUUCAAACCCCCUUGGCUCCAUUCAUUUCUUUCUGUUUCAUAGACCCCAAUAGAGGCCACUUUGGGGUCAUAUACUAAAGUUAAACUACCACCCUUUUGCCUUUACUCUCCACAAGAAUCUUCAAGGGCAUCAUAAAGUGAGGCUGAUGCCCACAAUCCAUGGUCUCUUUUGAUUGGUAUUUUAAGUUCUUAUUUAUGGUUUAAGUUGGGAAAGGUUAAGCUAAAUAUACAACAUAUUUGACAUUUGAAGCUUAGAAAGGAGCUAUAGUUAUGUUGACCUACACAUGUUUCAUGUGGGUUAUGUGUCUAUUCCAAAUUUUUUCUUGAAGAUUUUUUUUUUCCAAAUCUAAUUAUUUUGUUUCAUAUGAGGAAAUCCCGUAAGAAAAAUAAUAUGUUAGACACUCGCACACUUUUUUGAACGAAAUUUCUAUGUUAUCUAUUUAGUAAUUAUCGAAUUUGCACUCUCGACUACUAAAAAUAAAAUUUAAAUCAUUGGAUGAUGACACAAAUAUGUAAAACCAAGGUAUGAACAAAUAAAUGAUACUGAAUGAUCAAGAUGUAACACAAUGAGACUCAAUUGUUUAUGUGACACACAUUAUGAUCGAUCCCGUUUUUUAUAAAUAUCAAUUUAGUAUUGUACUAAGACCCUUUUCUUAAAUGCAAUUGAUAAUAAUAAUCACUAUUUUAAUUUUACUUUUAUUAUUGAAAACAAAUUUGAAGUCUCGUACAUGAUAUGAUAUUCUUGAUGCAAUGUAUCAAUAUGAAAAUUCAAUUAAAUAAUUCAAGUGAUCUCACUCCAAAAUGCCAUAAAAAAUAUCAAAAAAUUAUUGGAGAAUAAAUUAAUUUAAAUCUAUUAAUAUUAUAUUUUUGCUAAAAUGAAAUUAUGAUGUACCAUAUCAUAUGAUUAUCAAAGAAGUCAACAAAGAAAAACUAAUCAUUUUUUAAAUUCCAACAUUUCAAAUCAAAUCAAAGAGUUUACUAACGAAAAUGGGGGUUAGUACAAAUGAAAUUAUUUUUAAAAAGGAGGAAACAUGACAAGCCUAUAAUUAUUUAGCAUAAAGUGGGCUUCAUUCAAUCACUUAAUUUUAUUUAUUUAUUUGAAAUUUUAUUUGGGCCUUCAAAUGUGAGAUGAGGAAGCCCACACCAACUCAUCUUCAACCCAUUUGGGUGCAUAGGAGUUUGGUGCGCCGUGUUUCAGGUGACGUGGCGUUCCAUCCAAGAAUCCUACUUCCAUCUGCAUGGCUUGAAGUUGUUAGUACUUCUAUUAUAUUUUAAUUUUAAUUUUUUUUUAAAUUAUGUUUCUCUCUCUAGAGCAGUUGGAGUUGGCAUCUGUGUGGGAACCUUCUUAGAGAGAGAAAGAGCCAUACAUGGGUGCCACGUGUCACAAACCCAUUUCUUCGACGACUCCCAACUUUGCUCUACCUCAAUUUAAAUAAGUACAAUCAUUUUCUCUCCUUGUAUUCCUUCAUGCCAAACAACACAAACGGAGAAAGUGGUGAAAACAACGCUGCAACUUCUUCUCUCUUCUUCUUCUUCUCAUGCAAUCAUCAAGUGUAGACCCAAUUUUGUUCAACACCAACUUCUCCGCAAUGCUCAAGAUCAUCAACACCAGGCUGCGCCGCCUCUGCUCCCGUCUCCGGUGGCCGCUCCGGGGCCGGUCCAGGCCUAGAGUUGUGAUCAAAACACUGGGAAAAUCUAGCUCAAAAUCUCAUUUUGAUGCUAAACGUGAGGCUGCUGCUAAUGGGUCUGCCGUGGUUCAUCCAAACGGGCAGUUGGGGGCCGAAAAACCCAACAAAACUAUCCGAAUUGCGACUUUUAAUGCUGCCUUGUUCUCCAUGGCGCCUGCAGUUCCCAGAGCUGAGAAAGGAGAGAAUUUUGGGAAUGGAAAUGUGGAAGGUUUGAAGGAAAAGAGGUCUGUGGAUAUGAAUUUCCGGACGAAGUCUGCGAAUGAGAGACCGAAAAGUAUUCUAAAGCAGUCUCCUCUGCAUCCGAAUUCCAUGAUCCUUCCAGAGAAUCUUUCCAAGCAACAGAAGUUUGCAAAAUCCAAGCCACGGGUCUCGAUCAAUUUGCCUGACAAUGAGAUUUCCCUGGGGAGAAAUCGAAAAUUGAGCUUUGUGGAGGAAAAGGAAGGGUCAUCAAGCAGCACCAUAGGUAGAAUUUUGAGAGGAAAAGCUCCAUUGAGAUCCACAGUGAGCUUCCCAGCAAGCUUGGAAAAGGUUACAGAAGGAGAGGCCUACAGAAGCCGCAGAACAGUUGUUGAGGUGUUGAGAGAGUUGGAUGCUGAUAUAUUAGCUCUGCAAGAUGUGAAAGCAGAGGAAGAAAAGGCCAUGAAACCUUUGUCAGAUUUGGCUGCUGCUUUGGGGAUGAAUUAUGUCUUUGCAGAGAGCUGGGCUCCCGAGUACGGCAAUGCCAUCCUGUCGAAGUGGCCGAUCAAGCGAUGGAAAGUUCAGAAGAUCUUUGAUGACACUGAUUUCAGGUUCUUCAUCUCCCCUCUCCAAAUUUGCAUGAUGUCAAUCUUUGAAGUUCAUUCAGUCCUCUGUUUUCCCCUGUUUUCUUUCCUUGAGAAUGAAUCAAUUAUUACCCAAACAUUAUAGAAUCAUCAUGAAGUUCUUGAUUAAUAGCAAUUAAUGAAUGAAAUUCUUCAUUCCAUGUUCCUUAGCUCCCUUUUCUUGACCAGAACCAAAAAAAAAUCAAACCUACCCACUUUCAAAAAGUUCCAAUUAUUCAAAGGCUUUAUGACUGAAUAAUUGGGGAAGUGUUCAUUUAAUGUUUCCAAAAAGUUUGAGAGAUUUCCGCUACAAAUGGACUGAAAAUUACUGAAUUUUUUUCUCCAAACUUGUAACUGAACUCAUCCCCUGGUUGUUAUUGGAGAUUUAUGGAGUUUUUCCAGAAUUUUUUCUCUGAAUCAUUUCAGGCAGUUCUUCCCAAAGCAUAUAUAUUCAUAGAGUUGACUUGAAAAUCUUGUUUAGAAAUAGCUGUGAUCCACUUUCACUGCAGAGUGGGCCUGAGAAAGUCUUAUUCAGGAGAAACAACAAUAUAUACAGUGGGGCAGGAUUGAAAGGUCCACCCAUUUCCUAGAUUUUGAAGUGUCCCAUACGGGUCCUCCUUCAAAUUAAUCAUUCACCAUUGUCAGAUCAUUAUCUCAAAAUUCUAGAAGUAUUCCUACAAUUUUCAGCUAAAUGACUGAAUCCCUAAUUCAGGCCAUGGAAUUCAGUGAUUCUCUUGCUAUUUGAUCCUGAAUGGUUGUUCUAGGACACAAACAAAUCUUUCUUUCUUUCUCUCUUUCAAACUUUCCAUUGGAUUUUCUCGGACAUAUCCCAAAAUUUCCAUUGAGAUUUUCUUCUUUCAUUAGGUACCAUGCUUGUGUGGGUACAACCAGAGGGAUUUCUGUGGUAAGGCAUUAUGAGAAAGCUAAGAAUUAUCCUUUAGGCUCAAGCCCGUUUCCAGGAAAGCAACUUUCCAUGAAAGAAGCAUAAAAACAAAAGCUCAGAAAAAGAAGAUAUACUCCUCUUUACUCCUGGAAUCCAAAUCCAAGAAUCAGUUCUCAUGUACAGUAAACAGUAUCAAAUCAUCCAAAAAAAGCCGAAAAUAAAGGAAUGGAUAUGUUGCAAGUCACUUGAAAGGCCUCCAUAUCAAAUAACCUCCUUGUGGUUGAACAUUGUAAACAGGAAUGUUUUGAAGGCUACCAUAGAUGUUCCCCAGGCAGGAGAAGUGAACUUCCAUUGCACCCACCUUGAUCAUCUGGACGAGAACUGGAGGAUGAAACAGAUAAACUCUAUAAUCCAAUCCAAUGAAGGACCCCACAUCUUAGCUGGGGGCCUAAAUUCUCUGGAUGAAACAGAUUACUCAUCAGAAAGAUGGACAGACAUUGUAAAGGUAAAAGUGCUAAUAUAUUUCUCAUAAUUUCAUCCUAAAACCAGCCAUGGAAACAACACAAUCACCUUGCGUUCAAUGAAUUUAUACGUUUCAGUACUAUGAGGAGAUGGGAAAGCCGACGCCAAAGGUGGAGGUGAUGAAGUUCUUGAAGAGUAAACAGUACACAGAUGCUAAGGACUUUGCGGGCGAAUGCGAGUCAGUAGUGAUGAUAGCCAAAGGCCAAAGUACACAGCCUCACACUUGACCUUUUUCUUCAAGAUUCUUCAAGAUAAACUCUUUCCUAAAUGCAGUGAAAACUGCUCUUUAUCGCAGGCGUGCAGGGGACUUGCAAGUAUGGAACUAGGGUAGACUACAUAUUGGCAUCACCAAGCUCACCAUACAAGUUUGUUCCUGGAUCAUACUCUGUCUUCUCUUCAAAAGGGACCUCUGAUCAUCACAUUGUGAAGGUGGAUAUAGCAAAAGUAGAGACCAUUGGCCAAGAAAAUGGUGCUAGAAAGAGGAGAAAGCAGAAACAGAAGGUUGUAAAGAUAACAGACAGUUCAUCAAAAGGUAUAUGGACAGCACAGGCUUGAGCUAUAGAUAGAUUGACACCUUUCCUUUCUUUUUUUUCCUUAAGGAUAGAGUUGAUAUGGUUUUUGUUGAAGUUAUAGAAGGAGCAUAUGAUUUUGGACCUGCUUCCUUCAUGCUCUCUGUAAAUGAUAAUAUGUGUUCAUAGGAGGAAUAAAUUCAGAAAGGGAUAAGAGAUUUGGUGUGGGGCUUGUUAACUUUUUGUCUGUUUUUCUGAGUGUAACCCUGAUACAUUUUGUAGUGUAUUUUCUCACCCAAAAGGUCCAAAACCAGACACUACUUCAAUAGUUACUCAUUAUAUACAAGGGGCUGCUUUGUUUUUGUUUUUGUUUUUGUUUUCUAAUGCUCUGAUCUUAAUCUAGAUCUUAUUUUAGGUACUAGUUUUUAUGGGUAUUGUGAAUUUUCCUGAUUUUUGUUCAUUUUUGGGUUAAUCUAUUGAAGUAGUAGAUCGUGUUAUUUAGAAUGAUUUCAGAUGAAUUACUUUCUCAUAUUUCGAAAUAUUUUCUUAUUUUUGCUUGAUAAAUUUUUAAGUUGUAAAGAAUUACUUAGAAUGUGGUUCAAAUAUUAAAAAUAUUAAAAAUGUUUCAUAAUUUUUGAAAGUAUUUCCUUACAAAAUUAAGUAGUUGUCAAACUUCUAAAAAGUCUUCUCAGGUGAUUUUUUUUUUUUUUUUAAAUCAUUUAAAAAAAUUUCUAAAAAAAAUAAAAACAUUUAGAUUAACAUCACUCCCGAAUGAUUCCCAUGUGAGUUUGGACCACAGUACCUACCAAUAGUAAUUGGGUUGGCAAAUGGGUUACCGAGGAAGGAAAAGGAAAGGGACAACACCCACCCCUUCUGAAUUUGUUUGCUACUGCUUCCUGAAAAGCCAAAAAUUCCUAGUGCCUACUCUUGAUGGACCCUCUGCUGCAUCACUCUCACUUUCUUCAUCACAUAAACCAACUUCUCUAGCUGCAUUCAAUGUUUAUUUCAAUGGAAAUAUCACUGAUUUGAUUUUAUACAAAUAUAGGGAGAAAUCUCGAAUUUUCAAAAGUAAAAAAUAAAAAUUUACGACAGGUAAGCGAAUAAUAAAACAAUUUCAUUGAAACCCUAAAGUUUAAUGUAAAUAUACUAAACCAUCACAAGUUUUAAAUUUCGUCAGUUAGCAUCCUACGAAUGUAUUUUAUAUGCAAAUUUUAUUUUUUAACGAAUAAAAUUUAAUUUUAAAAUAAUUGUUAAACAAUCUUAUUUAAAAUAUUUUUAUUUAAUAAAUAGAAUAAAUUUAUAAGGAUCGAUAAAAUUCGAAACUUGUGGUGAUUUAGUGUAUUUAUACUAAACCUCAAGGGUCUUAAUAAAAUAUUUAUUUAUUUAUUUUUAUAUUAUAAUCAAAAUCAUAUAUAUGGAAAAGAAUGGUCGGGAAAUAAUUAUGCUUAUCCUGUCUUUCUAUAUUUGUACCCCUAAAUUAUGGAUAUAUAAAGGUUUUUCAAAUCAGCCCGCUCGUCAAUAUGAUCAACAUUAACAGGGCCGAGUAUAAAUGGGCCUGAGAUUGGCCCAACAAGCCCAAAUGUGAACUAAAACCCGAUUUCGUGAUGGGCUGGGUUGUUUAACCUCAAUCGAGUUGGCCCAAACCCUGAAAACCAGCUAUUCUCGGCUUUAUAUUUUUAAUUUCCCCGCAAUCCGCGGGCGACGGCGGCCAACGUCGAAAACCCGACAACAAACUUAAAUGACGAAAACACCCUCAAAUUUACCACUCAUUGUUUAGGCAACUGCGCGAAACGCGUGGCAUUUUGGUCUCACAGGGAAAGCUGAUUCGAAUUUGACCGUCGUCGUCUCUGCAAAUUUUCAACGGUGAACAUGGCAGACGGCGAGAUCCUGAAGAAGCUGGAGGACUCCACUAAGGACGCCGUGGCUGUCCAGCUCCAAACUCUUCACACCAUUCUCCAACGCAACGGCCGCUCAAGUUAUCUGCAACGCUAUGGUGCCUCUCUCGAUACGGGGUCGUUUAGAGAAGCCGUGCCUUUAUCUUGCUACGAUGAUUAUGCAGACUACAUCGAUCGGAUGGCCGACGGUGGUGGAGGUGAUGAUGAUGGUGAUCGGCCAUUGCUGUCCGUUGAUCCUCUGGUCUGUUUCUUCAACAGGUAUACUCGUCUCUAUUUUGUAUUGUUAUGUCUGUUUGGUCGCUGAGAAAAUCGAGGAAUAGGAGAAGAAAAGCAGAGGUUUUUUCUGUUUCCAAAGGCGUUUGUUUUCAGUGUCUGGUUGUUAAAUCAUUAGUUUGAACAGAAGGGCUGGAGAUGCUUAAAAGUGAAAUUUUCCUUUUUCCUUAAUUUUCUCACGAACCAAACAGAUUUGAGAAGGGAAAAAACACGAAAUUUCUAAUUAGCUGAUGUUUUGGCAGCUCCGGGACGAGCUCGAUGAAGCCAAAAUUAAUACCGUACUUUGAUUCACCACCUUCCAAGGCCGCUUCCCAUAUAGCUCACCAGGGCAGUGUUGCAAUUCUUCGACGGUAACUAUUAAUUGCAUGGAUUCUUUCAAUUUCUUGAUAUGAUUAUUAUUCAUAUCCAUUGAUCCAAUUCAGAUUCUUUUGGAUGUUCCUCUAGGUUGUUUCCUCCUAGACAAUCAAUCAAUAAGGUUUUGUGGUUCUUAUAUGCUGGUAAUGUUACAUACACAAAAGGGGGGUUUAAGGCCAUGGCUGCCUCUGCAUUCCCAUUACAAAGCAAUAACAAGAACCCUUCUCCAUUUCUUUCUACAUCUGCUAGUCCCCGAGAGGUUAUUCUGGGAUCCAAUGUUGAGCAACAAAUGUAUUGCCACAUUCUCUGUGGCCUAAGGAAUUUGGAUUUCCUUGAUGGGAUUCGAGCACCAUAUGCAGUUGGCCUAAUCAGAGCCUUUGCCCUGCUAGAAUUCAAAUGGGAGCAAAUAUGUGAGGAUCUUAAAUGCGGGUUUCCGAGUAUGGAGAUUACUGAUAUUGCAAUGAGAGAUUCUGUUACAGAGGUUCUAGCUGGGCCUCAAUUGGAUUUGUCAAAGAGAAUCCGAACAAUCUGUGAAGGAAAGAAUUGGGGAGGUAUUGUGGGUAAAUUAUGGCCUAAUGUUCGAUACAUAAAGUGUGUAUGUACAGGAAGUAUGGAGCAGUAUUAUCAGAAGCUUAAGUACUAUGCAGGAGAGAUACCUGUCUUGGGUGGAGACUACUUUGCUUCAGAAUGCUGUGUGGGCAUUAAUUUGGAUAUCCUGCAGCCCCCACAGCUUACUCGGUUUGUUCUGCUUCCAACUGCAGCUUAUUUUGAGUUUCUUCCCUUUACUUUGGACGAAGAAGAAAUAGGUGAUGAUGCUCAAGAAACUGUUGAUUUUUCUGGUGUUGAGGUGGGGAAGAUGUAUGAGAUAGUUGUGACUACCUAUAGGGGAUUUUUCCGGUAUCGUUUGGGCGAUGUUGUGAGAGUUGUGGGCUUCCAUAAUACAUCUCCAGAAGUGGAGUUUGUGAUGAGGGCCCCCAAGACUCCUGCUGAGAUAUUGACUGAAAGAGACCUGAUGACUGCAAUGGGAAAUUUCCAGCUUGUUCUAAGAACUGUGAAAAUGCCAGAUGUUACAGAGUUUGCAAGUUUCUUCGACUUGGAUUCGAUCCCAAAGCAGUUGAAGAUUUUUCUUGAGGUUGCUGGGGUUCUACAGGAUGAGAAGUUGCAGGAGUUGGGUUCAGUUCUCAGAAGGAAUUUUUCCUCUCUUGAAGAUGGGUUGGGAGGUGUUUAUAAAUUGAGGAAGGGGAGAGGUGAGGUUGGCCCUUUAUUAGUGUCCAUUGUAAAGCCAGGUAGCUUCAAUAGAUUGCUGCAGAUGGCUACAGAGAAUGGAGCACCAGCUAGUCAAUAUAAACCUCCCAAAAUUAUAAGGAAUCUAGAGAUUGUCCAUUUCAUGGAAGGGUCUGCUCUACUGACUGUAUCUUUUGAUUCUUCAGAUUGAUUGCUAAGACCUCAACUGGAUCCUGGAGUGUUCACUGUCUACUGCUGAAGAUUAUAUACUGUUUGUUUCCCAAGGCAUCAGGUUUUCUAGGCUCAAAUGAAUGUAAGAAUCUCUCAGAAACCAAACAGACUGCCUUAAAUUUCAAUCACCUUGUAUUUUUUUCUUCUGACUCACCUUCCCUCUUCGAGAAACAGGGCAAAUUCAAAGUUAUUUUCCUUCUUUACCGUCAAUUCAUAGUUAUAGUAUUGUUUGUGUGCUCCUUUCUCAAAAUAUUCUCUGAGUAUGUGAAAAUAUGAAGCAACCAUGGACCUCGAAAAGUAAAUCACACCAUAUAAAGUUCUGAUUGGGAAAUGUUUUCAAAACAAUUUUCGAAAAUAGCUUUUAAAAUUAUUCUAUAAUGUUUUAUAGAAUAAAAGUAUGAUUAAGAAUCUCUGAAAUAUUUUUUAGAUUUUUAAAUAUGUUUUAGUAAUAACUUUUAUACUGUAGUGUUUUAUUUUUAAUAUUUUUAUAAUUAUUUCUUAAAAUUACUCUUAAGUAAAAAUAAUUAAAGAUGUUACUAAAAAUAUAAUAUUUUUUUUUUUAAGAAUAAAAAAUUAUUUUCCAAUUACAAAACUUAUUUACUCGUAUUUUUGUUCUAAACUAUUAAGAGCCUUCUUUUUUUUCUUUUUUCUUUUUUCUUUUUUUUUUUUAUAAUUGUAGGGUAGAUUUAAAAAAAUAAUUUGUAAAAUAUGGUAGUUUGGAAAAUAUUUUCAAAAUUAUUAUUUUUAACCACGUAUGAAAGGGAAUCUUAAUAAAUAAAAUAAAAUAACCAUUUUUCUUUUUAAUUACAAACAAAAAUCAUCUCUUAAAAAAAUAAAUUGUAAAAAGUCUAAGAAUUUUUUUUUUAAAUAAAACAAAAUUGUUCGAUAAUAUUUUUUUAAUAAUUCUAAAAAAUUCUUAUAACAAAAAUUAGUCUUAAAAAAAAACCCAAGUAAUUUCUUCAAGGCCCGUUUUCUUUUUUAAAUAAUAUGUUUAACUAAUAAUUUAUUUUUGUAAUAGUAAAAUAUUUAAAAUAUAUGUAUUAUAAAAUUAAUUAAUUAUAUGUACUAAACUCAAUAUAUUUUUGUAAUAAUAUAUUUUUACAAGCUGCAAUUUCUUCUCUCUUUUUCUUUUUUAUGUGACAUGAAUCAGAAACCAGCCCACUUGCAGCCCAAUAGUUGAAAAUUUGGGGCGGCCCAGGCUCAGCCCAUUAUCAGCUGACUGAACUUCCGAUGUACAUACUCCGAUCUUCGUUUAAGCUUUAGCAUUCAAUCCUUCCUUCUUCAAACGCUGCAUUUCGGUCGAUUUCUGGGAUCAAGGUACUGUUCCAAUCUCUAUUCUCAGCUCGAUCAAUCGACUUCUAGGUUAGAUACAACCAUUUGGAUGCUAGGAAAGUAACGAGAAAAUGAAAGAAAAUUUUGAAUCCUGAACUUUUCACCAUCUAGGGCUCAAGAAUACAGAAAUUUGCACUUAAAUCUGAAGCUUACAUGACACUUUGGCCUAGUAGGUGUUUUUCUUUUAAUUAAUUAUUAUUGGCAGUAAAGAAAGUGAAAGAGGUAAUAUUGCAAUUUUUUUUCCCUUCAUUUUCUUGGUAAUCAAACGGAGCGUCGGAUUUAAAUCCGAGUGCUUUACAACUCUGGAAUGCUAUUGCUGGAAAUUUUAAAUUUUAGGGUUUCUUUUUUAACAGCCUGGAACUUUUGCCAGUUUGGAUUACAACUCAGACUGAAUUUUUUGUUAGAUUAAUGGUCUUUGCCAUCUGGGGAUGUUUUCUUGUAUAAAAAUAGGUUUAGUUUGGAUACAGAGAACAUAUGAAAAAAGUAAUUAAAAUUUAUUCAGAAAAGCAAUUUAAAAAAACUGCUCCAUGUGGUUUAGCAUUUUUCUUUGUCAUGGGGUUCCCAAGAGAAUGGAAAACUAAAUUAAGAAGAAUAAUUGUAGCUUGUUUGGGCUGCUUUCUUGAAUUUUUGGCGCCAAAAGAAUGGAGAAAAAAGGGUUUCAAAUUGCCUUUCAUUUUUUUUUCCUUAUCUUCUUGGCAUCUCAUUUCUGAGCAAUCAAACAGUGUUAGGGAUUGAAAAAUCUUUUUAUCUGAUUUAAGUAAAGAUGCAAACAUCUACCUUCUGAAUUUAUCUUAUUAGCAAAUAGUACACCAGUUUCCUAUUAAAAUAUUGUAUUAUACUAGGGUUGAUUGCAUGUCUCAAUGAUGAAAGAUGAUUCUCUCGACAACUCAUAGUUUUGGCUCAAUUCUAACUCCAAGCCAUUCAACAAGACCAUACACGCCUCACUUGAAUGCGGUGUUGUCAAAAUUGAGCCAAGCUUCACAGUUCAGCAUCUCAGUAACUUACAAAGAAAAAAGAUUGUAAGUUGUUUCAUCUUGCAAUGUCAAUAACUCCUUUCGGCACUGUAGAGUAUCACCACAUAAAAAUUGUAAAAUUUCAUUUCUUUGUUUUGCUUGUGUAGAUGUGAAUGCUUUGAUUUGUAUAAUGAGCUAGUUCCAUAUGGUGAGGCAUGGUCUUGGCAGAAAUCAAUUGUCAAAGAGAAGAAGGCAUUGAUUCAAAGGAAUCAAAAUUGUUCUGAUGCAUUAAUUAUUCUACAACAUCCCCCUGUUUUUACACUGGGUACUGGUAGCUCUGAGGAGUACAUGAAUUUUGAGAUAAUUGAUGCGCCUUAUGAUGUUUAUAGAACAGAACGUGGGGGUGAAGUUACAUAUCAUGGGCCUGGCCAGGUAAUUUUUCCAAUUCCCAAAGGUUGUACGUGAUAAAUAUCUGAUGUCUGCAUGUUUGCUUUAAGCUAUUAUUCUUAGUGUCAACUGUUUGUAUAUAGGAGUUCGGUUUGCAAUGUCUAACUCAAGUUUGUGCCAUUUGAUAAGGACAGAAACAUUCUGUUGUUGACAUUUGACAUUCUUUUCAACUUAAAUCACCAUCUCUUGACUAUCACCGUGCAGGAAUUGCCUAGUGAAAAAAAAAAAAAAGGUUAACAUUUUAUGGUUAGACAGCUGGAAUUUCCAUUGUCUAAGGUGCCCUGAUCUUGAAAUGAAGAAUCUUAAUUUUCAUGUGAAGAGUGACAAACAUGUUGGUGCUAGUAACUUUUAAUUAUAUAUAUAAAAUAACAGAAAAAAGGUUAAAUGGUUUCUCAUUUCUGAAGCAUCCUUUUCAUAUUGUUGAUUGGGAAUACAAAACUUACAUGUAUGCUUAUAAAAAAAUCUAUACUUACACAAUUGAUUUAUUUUGUUGUGUUUCUAAUUUGGUUUUCCAUUCUUUCUCAUGGUUAAUCUGGAAUUGAACUUCAAACCUCUUGUUUAAGCUCUGAAUCAAUUGACUAUAGGUGAAACCUUUCUUGUUGCACUUAUGCCUCACUUUUUAUGCAUGUCUGUUGCACUGUAGCUAGUUAUGUACCCUAUUAUCAAUCUCCGAAAUCACAAGAUGGAUCUGCAUUGGUACCUCAGGGCACUUGAGGAGGUAGUCAUUCGUGUUCUGUCCACUACAUUUUCUAUUAAAGCUUCUCGACUUGAGGGUUUUACUGGCGUUUGGGUUGGUAUGCUUCCUAACCCUGUUACUUAUAUAGGCGUGUACAUAUGUAUACAUGGAUAUAUAUUUAUUUAUUUGUGUACGCACAUAUAUUUGUUUAUUUCUUUAUCUGCUUGUAUGUGUGUCUAAAAGGACAAUAACAUCUUCUAAAAAGCCAUGAGUAGGAAAAUAGGAAUAUCUAGAUACAUAGAAUAUAUGUAUAGAGUACCAAUUUCAUUAAUCAUUUUCCAUUUGUCUAGGUAAUGUAAAACAAAUUUUGUAAAGGGAGUUCUUUCAGGUGCAUGGUACCUCUGAGGUCAAAGUAUCUUAUGAAGAUAAAACUAGAACUCUAUGGCUACAACAACAACCUUCACUACAAAGUUGUAAUUUCUUUCUGCUUUCUUACCCUGUUAACAAGUAAGAUUAUUCUGCUAAAUAAGGAAACUGUUGUGGGUAUUUAUUUAAUUUUGAAAAGUUGUUUUUUUGCAAAAUAGAUGGUAAUAUUGCCCCAUUCACCUCUACUGUGGCAUGUAAAUGAUUGUUUGCAUUCUGUCAUUUUUGUCACUUAGUUUGUAGGCUUUAUGCCUUUUUAAAUAAAGUUUGUUCAAAUCAACACAGCUUUAAUUGUCGCCUUUCUCAUGAUCUUUCUUUUCGAAUUUACUUCAGGGGAUCAGAAACUAGCAGCCAUUGGGAUACGAGUGUCUCAAUGGAUAGCAUAUCAUGGCUUAGCACUGAAUGUCACCACAGACCUUACUCCCUUUCAGCUGAUAGUCCCAUGUGGCAUAAGGAACCGUAAGAUUGGAAGCAUUAAGGGGAUUCUUGGGGAAUUUGGGUCAUCCAAUCGAUGUGGAGCAUCAGAUAUCAAUUAUAUUGAUGAUUUUCAGUUGAUUGAUAUCACACACAAGUCUUUGAUAAAGGAGUUUUCUGAAGUUUUUCAGCUUGAACUUGCCCUUAAGCCCAUCUCCAUGUUGUAAACUGCAAAAUAAACAGCACUCAUCCACUGGAGAAUUUGUUUUGCUAAGAAAUUGAAAACAGCAUGUCUAUUUCAUUUAGGGUGGGAAACAAAUAAGUUGGUGGAUUGAGUAUUUUCCUGGCAUUACCUCUCCGUGGAUUGGAAGUUGAAGCAACACAGCGCGCCUCAACAAGCUUGUAAUCUUCGAUCCACUUAAUCUUGUAAUUCUAUUGUUUUCUUUAAUUGUACAUUGGGUUGUCAUGAAUUCUAAUUUUGCAGAAUUAAAAAAUGCUGUCAUUCUGUCAAAGGGAUGAUGAAAAUUCCAUGUCAUAUAGCAUGCUUAAAUUAUGUAAAGACAAAUUGAGUUUAGCAAAUUUUCUACAUAGUUGUUGCUGCAGGAUGUUUGGAUUGUCUGAACUUCUUUUUGGUGUUUACUCUUACACCUCAACUUCACAUAUCUAGUUUAUUGUUAAAUUCAUAUCUUUAUUUUGAUGGGUUAAUUUUACUUACCUCCCCAAAGAUUUUGGUUAAAUACACUUAGCCACCAUUAGUUUGAAAUUUCGUCAAAUACUAAGCCCUUCUCAUUAGUUAAUUUCACUCACUUCCUUUUUGACCCAAAUUAAGAGAGGUAUGUGACAAAAUUUCAAACCAAUGGUGAUUAAGUGUAUUUAACCCAAACCUUGUGGGAGGUGAGUGAAGUGAACCCUUAUUUUGAUUUGUUAAAUCCGUUUUUUUUUUUUUUUUUUUUGUUACUAAUCUAUGGUUGUUAAAUCAUGGACUUAAGUUUUGUAUAAAUGUUUUACUUUUUAGGGAGUUUGAACCUUUCUGGAUAAUGUUGGGUGGUGCUAUUUCAUGUAAUUAAUUUGGGGACUUGAGUUUGAAUGAUUCUAAAUGCAUGUUUUAAUAAAGAUUUGAAAAUGCUUCUGCAUAUUUAACUGUAUCUUAGAGCAUUCUCAAAUAUCAGUUUCUGAGGCUUUUUUACGAUUCUUUUUUCCAGUCCUGUAUUAUCAGUAUGCUCAUAUAUCCAGUACCUCAGUUCUUGGCUUUACAUCACAUAAAAUGUUGUACUUUUCUUCUAGAUCUGCAACUCUGCAACCCAUAUGGUGCAUUUCAUCGAAGGACCAUUUAAGGAUUUACUUGAUUCGUCGUAUGAAAGAAAAAAAUGUAAGUAUUUCCUGCUGUUAAUUUGUUCUCAUUAUUGUUGUAAUCAGUUACAUCCAAGGACCACCUAAGGAUUUGCUUGAUUCACGGUAUGGAAAAAAAUAUAAGCAUUUCCUGCUGUUAAUUUGUUCUCAUUAUUGUUGUAAUCAGUUGCAUAGUGCAUCUGCCAACAGGAUAUGAUUUUAUCUCAUGCCUAACUGAAUUGUCAAUUUUUUGCAAGUAUCUGGGAAAAACCUUUAUUGAGUUGAGGAAAAAUCUCCAUUGAUGGUGACUUGAUGUUAAACCAUUUAUUGAUGGUUCUAUGUAUUGGAAAUAGCAAUGGAGAGUGUGACUCCAUGUCUAUCUAAUAACAUGGUUUGUGUGCAUAUGUUCUUGUUCUUGCUGCAAUGAGCUGUGCUCCUCAAGCAGCACAAUAGGAUUUUAUCUUGCACCUAAACAUCACACCUGUUUUUCUUGUUGUGAUUAGGAUUAUGUGCAUCAAACAGUAUGCUGUGAAUAUAUACCUAAAUAGACAGGCAUGGUAAAAUUUCUGAGGUUGGUUUGGCACCUAAUGCUGUUUUUGGGAUCAGGUGAACCUUGUCUUAGUAUACUAGAUGUAUGUUUGUAACAUGAUACAAGAACUGCAAAGAAAUUCAAAAUUGCUUGUAAAAUUUGAAGUGACUAUCUUGCAUGCAUCUGGAAUGGUUAAUUCAUCCUUUACUUGGAAGACAUAGAAUAUGCUUGUCUAUGUUUGGUCUCAAGUACCAAGAAGAGAAAAAAAAAAUUGAUAAGUAAAAUGAUUUUCUUAUGUUUAAGUACGUUGUGAAAAUAUAAAAGAAAGUAAAGAAAAUGUACGUGUUUUCAAAUUAUUUAAUCUUUUAUAUAAAAUAGAGAAAAAUAAGUUAAAAGCGAGACUUCAAAACCUUCUACACUUUUUUAUUUGUUCUAUUUUUCUUUUUUAUUUUAUCGAUUUCAUUCCCCAAAUUUUGACGAACCAAAAAUUACCUUGAAGUGUUUCACAAUGGAAGCAUAUUUUAAAACUUCCCUCGUCGAAAUAUUAUCUUGAAAUUUUGAUUCUUCCUUUCUAAGUUUCAUUUUGAGCAUUUGUUUUGUUUUUGUUUUUUUUGAAUUUUUGGUUUUUAUUUAUUUAUUUACUUUUUUUCAAGCAAGCUGGUUAGCAUUUUACAUUGGAGUUUUCGAUAGCUUAUAAAAAAAAUAAAAAUGAUAAAACAAACAUGAGAUACUAAGGGCCCAUUUGGAAAGUAAAUUUUAAAUUGUUUUUUGUUCUUCAAAAUAGAAAACACUAAGAUAUGUUUGCUUCUAUAAAGUUUGAUGGAAUGAGGGAAAGAAAAUAAAAUAGAAAAGUAAAAAGAAAGGGAAGUGAGUAAGUAAAAUUAAAAUUAAUAAAUUAUUUUAAAUUUUUUUCGCCUAUAUAUAAUUUUAAUAAUUUUAAUUAUAUAUAUAUUUUUUUAAUAAAACUAUGAAAAAAAUCUAUUUUCUUAAUACUUUUUCACCGGCCAAUCAUAAUUUCAAAGAAUAUGUUGAACUAUUGUUCUAUGUUUUCAAAAGUUGUUUGUUUGUAUUCUCAAAUGGUUGAUGAUAUUUUUCGAAAAUAAUUUAAUGAUGUUUUUAUGUGUAUUUUCUAAUGUUAAUUGAAAAAUAAAAUACAUCUAGAAAACUCAAGAAAAAAAAAAAAAAAAGGGAAAAGAAAAGGAGAAUAAACCCUCAGUGUGCUGUCACACACAAGGUUUUUAUGGUGCAGCAUGAAAGGUAUAUUUUUUAGUCGAAGGAACUUUGAUUUUUGGGAAAAAUUAUUUAUAAAAUUUUCUGUAGGAAAAUUAUUUUUAUUCCAUAUUUAGAUAUUUUAUUAUUUGAUGCUAAAUUUAUUUGAUAAAUUUAUUUAAUAAUAUUUUGUAAUAAAAAAUGAAAUAAAUUUAUUUUUAUUUCAUAUAUAUAUAUAUAUAUAUAUUUUUUUUUAUGGGUGAAUAUUAAUAUUAUUUACUAAAUUUAAUUAAUAAUAUUUUAAAGAUAUUAGGAGUUAUAUAAAAUAUAUAAUUAAAACUAAUUAGGUACUAACCGAGUUUCUGUAAAAAGGCGGAAAGCCAAGCCGGCCCAGCCAACGCUUCCACCCGUUUCUUCUAGGGUUUUUGCUCUUACACUCUUGCACUCGUAGAACUCUAGCUCUUUCGCCAUGGGGAAGAAGAGAAGCAAGUACCACAAUCCUCAACCCUUCCUCGCCGAUGACGGUGUGGCUUCAUCCAAGAAGCGUUCCAAGCCGGCCAAGCAUCACCAGGCUGAAGAAAAGGUGCUUAACACUCCACUCUCUCCUUCUCUCCCAAGGAAACGACGUAGGUUCUUUGUUGUCUCUCUUCUUACAUUUUCUUCUACAUGUAAUUGCAGAUGAUAUCCUCUGGUAUGAGCUCAAAAAUUUUGAAAGAAGCUCUGUUUCAGCAAAAGGAGAUCGAAGACGAAGCCCGGGACCAAAACCCUAAUAGUUCCUUCUUCGCGGUCGAAGAAGAACCGGCCAAGGACGAAGAAGAGGAUGUCGACGAUUUUGCCGGAUUUGACGACACUCAAAGCCAUUUUGGCGGUUAUGAGGUGGGUUUGAUUCGUCAAAUUUUACUUUUGUUGUUGAGAAAAUGGUUAGGAGGAUGGCAAUUUUAUGGUAUCUCCGUGGGUAAUGAUACCUUCAGAAUUUGUUUUCAAACAUUGUACAUUCCUGGAACUGGAGGUAUGGUACCUCUGCUGUGUGCUAAAAUUACCGGGAAAGAAAAAUUAUAACUUUCUGACCCAUGGUAGGAAAAGUUCCAAAUUCCACCCAAUUGAGCUUAGUGCAAGACUUUUGGAAACCAAACACAAGGUAGAUAACGAGAUAUGUUAUUUUCACACAUUUUCUCAGCAACCAAACAGAGUGGUAUGCCGAGUUUUUUAGUUGAUUUUUGUGUUUUAUGAAUUGUAGGAAGAGAUUGAUGAGGAGGACGAGAAAUUACUGGAGGUUUUCCUUUCAAAGAAUGCUGGUCCAGAGCGAACGCUAGCGGAUGUCAUUGCUGAGAAAAUUAAAGAAAAAGAUGAGCAAUUUUCCUCAGGUGGAUUUGGAAUGAGUAUUUUUUAAAAGUUACCAUAAUUGUCUGUCUUGUUUCAUUUUCUUCAUUUUAGAUAAUAUUGUUUAAAGUGCUUCUACUUCUGCAAAUUUUGGUUAAUUGUGGGUGGAAGCAGCAUUUUCACUCCUAGUAUGAACUUUAGCACUAUCAUCAUCUUGGAAAAUAGGACUGAUUUUUGUUCUCAAACACAGGAACAAUGGCCUAAUAGAAUGUCAGAAUCCAUGUCUAAUAAGGCAUUUCCAAAUACUGGUUCCAAAAACAUUUUCUGAGAAGUGAUAUUUUAGGAAAAGGUUGAAAUACUGUUGUUGACUUUUAAAAAGUAUAAGGACUUGAUCAAUUGAAAACGAUCCUAAAAUAAAAAUGCCAUUGUUUUUGUUUCUGAAAAUAAAAAUGUAUUCAAACACCUAAUGCGCUGCUAUUUUCUUACAUACUGAUUUGUAAUUAAAGAUCGUGUGAACUUGUGUUUUGGACCCUUCUUGAAAUAACAUGAUGAUUAUGAUGGUCAUUAUGUUUUGCAUGAAACUGAACUACUAUAAGCAUUUUCAGUCUGUUGGGGACUUUAUAUCGGUAUUGAGUUUCCACUUUAAAUAAUAUGCUUACAUCGUUACUGUUAAUAACAACAAACAGUUUUUUAUUUAUUUUUAUUUCCUGUGUUAGUAUUCAUUGGAUCUGUUUGUUAACAGAAGUGCGACCUUUGCCGAAAUUGGAUACCUCUAUCAUUGAUUUAUACAAGGGGUAUUUCAGCUGCCUUUUUCUCAUGAUUCUAAUUGUUUGGGUUAUGUAAAUGAAAAGUUUGUUAAAAGUUGGCAUAAAUGUAAUAUGCAGAGUUGGCAAACUUCUUAAUAGAUACACUGCGGGAAAACUUCCUAAGGCUUUCAAACAUAUUCCUUCAGUUCAACAUUGGGAGGAGGUCCUGUACCUAACUGAACCUGAGAAUUGGUCACCCAAUGCAGUGUACCAAGCCACUAGGAUUUUUGCUUCCAAUUUGGGUGGGAAGAAGGCAGAACGGUUUUACAGGCUUGUCUUGCUCCCACGAGUCAGAGAAGAUAUCCAGAAGAAUAAGAGAUUACAUUUUGCUUUGUAUCAAACUUUAAAGAAGUCUUUGUACAAACCUGCCGCCUUCUUCAAGGGAAUAUUGUUUCCAUUGUGUGAGGUAUGCAUCCUUCAAGAAAAUUUGUUUGGUACUAAAUUUUUAGUUGAUGUUGUUUCAUUCUUGUUUCCAUAUUUGUAGAGCUAUUCUUCAAACUGCUGGCUUAUGGUGUUCAAUUUGGCCUCUUGUUCUAAUUUAUGAGAAUUACCGUUUCAAUCAUGCAAAUUUUUUUUGGAAGAGUUCUUCAUGUUCCUUUAUUAUUUAGUAUGUUCCAAGUGUGUUGAGAAAUAUAAAAAUGAUUCCAUACUAGCAGGGAAAUGGUUAAUUUAGGUGGUAUUUGGGUACACUUUCCAUUUUUUUAUUUUAAACAAUAGAAACUCUUAUACAAAAAGAAAAAUUUACCUUGUAUUCUUAAAACUCUUUUCUAAAUUUUAAAAUUUGGAGGGAGUGAAAAAUUUCACUUAAAUUUCCAAAAGGGUUUUCAAAUACAUAAGGCACUUACCUAUUUUUGCACACGAAUUUCUACAUUUUAUAUAAGGGUUUUGAUUUUUAAAAACAAAAAAUAGAAAAUGCAUCUAAACAUGCACUUAGUAUUAUUAGAAUUUUUUGUUUGUAGUCUUCAGUUGCUUAUUUUUUAUUUAUAUAUAACAUGGUUUCAAAAGUAGAUGCAGCAGUCUUAUUAACGACUCUAAUACAGCCAG